GCGGCUCAAUUGGACCCAACGCCGGGAAUCUUACCGGGGGCGACAGCAGGAUGAAGGUCAGGCUGAAGACCUUACCAGACGAGCUGAGGGGUGGUGCAUGGCCGUCGCCAGCUCGUGCCGUGAGGCGUCCUGUUAAGUCAGGCAACGAGCGAGACCCCCGCCCCUAGUUGCCAGCGGCAUCCUUCGGGAUGGCCGGGCAAACUAGGGGGACUGCCGGCGAGAAGCCGGAGGAAGGAGGGGGCCACGGCAGGUCAGUAUGCCCCGAAUCCCCCGGGCCGCACGCGGGCUGCAAUGGGCGGGACAGCGGGAUGCGACCCCGAGAGGGGGAGCAAAUCCCUAAAACCCGCCCGUAGUUGGGAUCGAGGGCUGCAACUCGCCCUCGUGAACCCGGAAUCCCUAGUAACCGCGCGUCUACAUCGCGCGGUGAAUACGUCCCUGCCCCUUGUACACACCGCCCGUCAACCUGCCCGAGUGGGGCUGGGGCGAGGUCUAGUCUUCUCCUUCGGGAGGAGGCUAGAUCGAGCUUUGGCUCCGCAAGGGCGGGUAAGUCGUAACAAGGUAGCCGUAGG
rnacentral:rRNA from 1 species